CUCCUCCUACCUCCAUCUCUCCUUCUCCCCCUCCUCUCCCCCCCUCCUCUCCUGUCUCCUCCCCUUCCUCUUCUAGGUACAGGACCUCCACUCCUCCUUCCGCCCCCCCUCCUUUCAAGCGUCGUCGCUGUUCUCCCCCCCCCCUCCCUUCCGCCCUUGGUCCUCUUACACUCUCCCUGUCCCUCCCUCUCCCCCCCACACUUUCCUCUCCACUACCUGUCCCAACCCUAUCCCUGUCUCCUUCUAUUCCUUCUCCCCUCCUCCCUCUCCUCCUCCUCUUCCCCCCUCCUCUUCUAUCUCCUCCCCCCCUCGCUCCUCUUCUUCUCCCCCUCCUCACAUCCUCACAUUCUUCUCUCUCUUUUUCCCUGACACUGUUCUUUCUCUCCUCCCUCGCUCUGACUCUCCCCCUUAUCUUCACCCAUACACUCUAGACUAGGCUGUAUGAUUCUCACCUAUCUCCUCCCCCUCCUCCCUUUUGCACUCUUCUUUUUCUCCCUUCCCUCCACCUCUCUCUCCUAUCUCCUCCUCUCUUCCUUGUUCUGACCGGGCGCUGGAGUUGCAGGAUAUCGGAGGCUGCCACCACUCUUCUUCCCAUCCAAGUUUUUCUGUUGAAGGACCUCCUGACAAACGUACAGGCUCAGUCUAGUCUAUCAUGCAGGAGGUCCCCUCUUAACAAUUUUUACUAAUCAUUGUGUGAGUGUCUCUCCCCAGAAGCCUCCUGCCAGCCAACCUCCAGGGAAGAAGGUUCGCAAACCUUCCAUUCCAUUAAAUUUACCCCGUUUUAUUUUAAACAGUUUAGCUAUGUGUGAUUUUCUGGAUGUGAUCUGGUCAGAUUUUAUUUGAAUCUCUUGUGAUUAUGUCUGAUCAGAUCUAUUCCAACUUUAUUUGAAUUAAUUUUCUUCGAUUGUAUUUUGUGUGAUUCUUUGAGCUCGGUUCUUGCCGGUGGGACUCUGGUCAGGGUGCCUGUCAGAGGUGUGGGCGGAUCUGGGGGGGGGGAUUGUUGGAAACCUCCUGUGGUCCCCCUUCUCUUACAGUGAAGCUCCGCUCUGUCAGAAGGUGAACAGGAUGCAGACAGCAUGUCACAGAGAAGCGACAUGUGUGUGUCUGUAUCCCACCCUGGACACAGUGGAGUCCACAGUGACAAGAUCACAGUUCAGGAGAGUCACAGCGGGAUUAAUAGGGGUGGUUAAAUGUGUUAUUUAAGAUAGUAAAUGUAGUGUGAGGGUGAAGGCCUCGCUGCCACAGGGAAGUUUCCAGAAGAACAGGCACGUAAGGAUCCCUGUGAAUGCUGCUGCAUGAAAAGACCGAUGAUCCCGGGACCCAAGACCAAGACAAGGACGACCCCAAAAGGCGACUUGAAGAUGAGUGACCGAGCCCCAACAGAGAUGAAGCCAGAGACGACGACCAGCCGGUGAGGAGAAGAAAGAACAACUUUAUCGAGACUUUACUGGAUGCACUGGCUUGUCUGGAUCUGGAGCUCCAUGUUUCUGAUCUGCUGUUAUCGGCCUCAGCAACCUCCAAACUAUUCAUCUUCUUACCUUCCACUCUACCCUCAACGCAACCAGAGGUUUUUUUUUUUUAACUUCCCAGAUGGAAGUUUUUUUUCCUCACCCCAAAUGGAGUUUUUUUUUUUUUUUUUACUUCCUAACAACAGGAAGUUUUUUUCCUCCACACUGGUACCAUGUGCUUGAUCUGAUCAUACUGCAAAAAGAGAGAUCCUCAAAUAAAAAAACAAAACAACACAAUAGAACUGUAUGUUUGUUUAAAAAUGUAACCUAAUGCACUCUUCCUUUUCGACUUAUUAUUGGAGAGCAUGUUUUAUGGCUAGCAAACUUCUUUCAUCUAAAAAACAUGGUUUCAAACCACUGGUUUCUCACAAAUACCUGGACUCCAUCUUAAAACUGCACAGCAUUUGAACAUACUGAUGGUUGUGUGAUUACUUGGAGUAAAUGCACAAGACAGUAAAUUUGCUAAAUACAUAGAUGCUGCAUGAUUAGUAUUAACAGAAUGUACUAAUUUGCACUGAGAUAAAAACAAAAAACUAUACUACAAAUUCUGCAGGGUUUCUAUUAUAGUAUUUUGGAUUUUUCCCACAAUGUAUCAUUGUUAUUAUUAUUAUUAUCAUGUGCUGUAAGACUUUAUAACAUCAGCAUCAUUGGCUGAUGUUAACAUAAACCAGACUGAUAUAUCAAACCAUAAAAUUUGCACAGCAUUCUUGCACAGUGGCAUUUUUGCACUUCUGAAUUUAUUUUCAAGUAUUUAUUAUUUUUUAUUUUUAUCCUUGUACAUAUUGUAAUUAUUAUGUUUAUUUCCUGGUGUAAAUAUGCUUGCUGCUGUAACAAUGUGAAUUUCCCCUGGCAUGGGGAGCAAUAAAAAAUUAUCUUAGCUUA